GGUUGCAACAUCCCCGCGGGUUGGGUUUCGGCUAAACGUGGCCGGAAUAGCGAAUCCGCUGCAACC
rnacentral:sRNA from 12 species